CGGGGCACCACCACAGCCCUCACUGCGAGCAAGAGAUUGUGAAAAGCCUGUUCAAGCCUCUUCCAUGUUCACAGGAAAAGAAACCAAACCACCCUUUUGCUUCAGAGAACGGUAAAAGUGUGUCCUCAGAAAUGCAAAGUUCCUAACCAGGACAACUCAGCUGUUUAUCCAAACAGGAGGUCUGUUCUGUACUCCUGGCUACAGAGUGGAGGAAAAGUCUGGCAGAAUGGGACCCUGAAGUCGACAGCAUGACUGGCAUGAUGCACAUGGCAAUGCCUUUCUUUUCCUGCUCUCUUUUCCUGCUGUGUGUGACCCUCAGCACAGAGGAUGAGGGUACUUGCCAUCCCUGAGCAGCAGCUCUGCCAAGAGGGCCUGGAAGGUCUUCAAUCCCAGCAACUUGGAGUUGAACCACAUCCUUUUCCUCCUUCCUCUUGUCUCAGGAUGUUUUCAGUCCCUUUUGUGACUGUGGCUGUGCCAAAGAGGAAGCACUGGAGAGCUGAAACACCCCCCAACACAGAAACCAGAUGUAUUCAUAUGCUCUCAGGACAGCUGAGGAUGGAAGGCACCUGCAGAUGCCAUCCCAUCCAACUCCCCUGCUCAAGCACUGUCAGCUAGAGCCAGCUGCCCAGGACAACAUCCACUUGUGUUUUAAGUAAUUCAAUGGGUGGAGACACCACAGACUGUUUGAGCAACCUAUUCCAGCACUAGAUUGCCUCCACAGUAAAAAAUCGUAUUAUGUUUAAACUGAAUUUCCUGUAUUACAGUGUGUGCUUGUCCUGUCACUGCAUACCACUGAAAAGAGCCUGGCUCCCUACCAUCAGGUAUUUGUAUAUUUUAUGUGGUUUUUUUUCAAUACCCUAUGUGUUCAAAGGAAAAAUGAAAGCAGACAACUGUAACUGAAACAAGAAUUGAGCCAAAUAACACCUAAAGAAAAAGAGGCAAACCGCCAGAAAAGUAAAAGUGGAAUACAAAACUACAUGGUAAAAUACAUAAUAAGCUUAUCUUUCCACAUAUAAGAGCAUCAAUAUUUGUUGUCAGAUGCCACCACACUUACUCAGAUUAUGUAUUUGCAUAUGUCCUAAAGUAUGUUUUUCAGCCAUCGUGAAAAGGCCUUUCACUGGCCUAACACCACAACAAUCCCCCACUACAUUCCCAAACCUUACACUGCUGUAAAACACAUCUGAAACUUCAAAAUGAGAAGGUGUUAGGGGCUUUCAGAUGGGGCAGAGAGGAGCACACGUGCACAGCCCCCUGCUCAUGGCACUUCCACAGCAGCAUCAGUUCACAACACCCACCUGGCUAAGGCCACUGUGCUCCUGCAGGACAGGACCUGCUGACACAUAAACAGCAGCAAACAGACUCUUGCUGAGGAAAAUACUGGACAGCCCUAAGCACAAGUGCACAUUUACCCACAUCCUUCCAUGCCAUUAAUGCAGGUAAUGUUACUGCAAUUAAAAACCAUGCAUUUUCCAAGAAACCACAGUGUGGUAACCCAGCUGCUUAGAAUAGCAUAUCAGAAUAAUAUCUGUGUGGUAAGUACUGGUGAAUAAUAAUGUUUUUAAUGGUAAGUACUUCAUGUACCAUUCUGUUUUGAAGGGCUUUGUACAUUAAAGAAUUUUCCUUCUAAAUAGUUCCAUUUAAUUUCUUGGUUUUCUUUUAAUUCAAUGUGAAGUACUGGUAUGCAUAAGCCAGAAUCAGGUGCUUUUAUUAUCCUCUGGGUAAAGGAUUACAGUAAAAUUAUCACAAAAUCUCACUGAAUGUCAUUUGGAAUUUUUUGGACCUUUUUUGAACCCACCUUCAUAGCUACAUCCACCACAUUACCACUUGAUCAACUUCUGGUGUAUUUACCAUUAGCUAAAGGACAUUUCUAUAGGAUAUAGCAACAUCAAGUGUGACCAACCCUUCUGGGUAGUGGGCAUUGCUGUACACUACCAUGCUGCAUCUCAGACUUCUCCUCUCAGUGGUUCUUUACACCUUAUUAAAUCCUAAACUGUCAUAAGUUGAAAGGGCUUUUGGAAAUUUUAGCUCCAAAACCUCAUGCAUUUCCUAAUCUAAUCUAAUCUAAUCUAAUCUAAUCUAAUCUAAUCUAAUCUAAUCUAUGUAUAGUUUGGAUGAUGGAGAGAAAUAAUGUAAUCUAUUAUAAGAAAUGAAAGUUCAAGGGAGAUUGAGGUUAUAGUGUCUCUGAUUUUUGUGGUCAUCCAGUACUAGUUUUACAUUUGGGAGGAAAAGGCUUUACAGACAGCUUCCUAUUUAUUGGUAACAUAUAAAAGAAAAAUAUUUGCAGGUGAACCUAAUCACAGAGGCUUUAAGUUGCUGCUUUAUACAGAAGUAACACCCCUUCAGCUGGCAGGAUACUGAACAGGAGGGCAAAUAUCCACCAUGUGUGGGAGGCUUAAAAGCACUGUAGAUAAUAAAUGCUAGUCAAGCAGGUACUUUUUUAAAAGUAUAAAAAAUCAUUAUUCUGCCUAAAGCUUUCCAUUUCCUCAAAAAGUUCACAAGGGAGAGUUGGAAACUAAAAUUUCUACUUUUAUGUCCUACUUUCUUACAGACUCUCCUUUUUUGAUUAUAGAUAAAACAAUUCAUUAUUUUAGGAAUGCAAUUUCUGCCUCUUUAUGUACAUGCAAAAUGACUUUAUUCUAAUAAAACAUUAUUCUGUUUGUAUCAUCUAUUGACAUCUCUGAAGUCUUUUAAGAACCAUGGAUGAAAGGUGCUAUGCAAGU